UACGUAGGGGGCAAGCGUUGUCCGGAAUCAUUGGGCGUAAAGAGCGUGUAGGCGGCCCGAUAAGUCCGCUGUGAAAGUCCAGGGCUCAACCCUGGAAUGCCGGUGGAUACUGUCGGGCUCGAAUCCGGAAGAGGUGAGUGGAAUUCCUGGUGUAGCGGUGAAAUGCGCAGAUAUCAGGCGGAACACCCGUGGCGAAGGCGGCCAGCUGGGCCGUCCCUGACGCUGAGGCGCGAAGGCGUGGGGAGCGAACGGG
rnacentral:rRNA from 1 species